GACGAACGCUGGCGGCGUGCUUAACACAUGCAAGUCGAACGGAAAGGCCCCUUUGGGGGUACUCGAGUGGCGAACGGGUGAGUAACACGUGCGUAACCUUCCCUUGACUUCGGGAUAACUUCAGGAAACUGGGGCUAAUACCGGAUAGGAAUCCUUUCUUCAUGGUGGGGGUUGGAAAGCUUCGGCGGUUUUGGAUGGACUCGCGGCUUAUCAGCUUGUUGGUGGGGUAGUGGCUUACCAAGGCUUUGACGGGUAGCCGGCCUGAGAGGGCGACCGGCCACAUUGGGACUGAGAUACGGCCCAGACUCCUACGGGAGGCAGCAGUGGGGAAUAUUGCACAAUGGGCGGAAGCCUGAUGCAGCAACGCCGCGUGCGGGAUGACGGCCUUCGGGUUGUAAACCGCUUUCAGCAGGGGCGAAGCUUUUGUGACGGUACCUGCAGAAGAAGCACCGGCUAACUACGUG
rnacentral:rRNA from 1 species